GUAGUAAUUUUUUUGUUUUUGUUUAUUACAGGUGUGUGGUUAAGUUCUAAAAUGAUAUUAGGUAUGACGGUUACAAUAAUAACGUAAUGUACACACCGUCACACGGCGCCGGGGCGUCGCGUUCCGGUAUAAUGAGUUAUAAUAAUAAUAAUAAUAAUAAUAAUAAUAAUACGUGAUAAUACAUUUUUUAAAUAUAUAUAUAUAUAUAUAUAAAUAUAAUGACGCGAAUAAUUAGUAUUAUUAUUAUAGAGCUGUUGUUGUUGUUGUUGUUUUUUAUAUAUAUAUAUAUAUAUAUAUACAUAAUUAAUACAUCAAUGACACGUAUAUGUAAUAAAUGUUAGUAACAAUAGUCGAAAAUUGGUCGUUGUACAUCAUUUUUUUUUUUUUUUUUUUUUUUUUUUAUUGAUCCGAUAAACAUUCCCAGUAUAUUUAUCAUAAUAAUAAUAAUUAAUAAUAAUAAUAAUUAAUAAUAAUAAUAAUAAUAAUAAUAUUAAUAGUAAUAAUAUUAAUAGUAAUACCGCGGAUACACAGUAUCGUCGUGUUCAGUAUAAUUUAGGUGGGUAUAAUAAUAAUCGUAAUAUAAAUAUUAUUAACGACAUUGCGGGUUCGUAGGUACAACAACGAUAUUAUUAGAAUAAUGACAGUAUAAUAUUGUAAUAGAACGCGGCUAUAUAUUGUAGCGUGGAUAAAAAUUUUUUUUUUUUUUUCAAAAAACGGGAAUAUUAAUUAAAAUAAUAUACGACAUUGUUAGGCGUAUUAUUUAUAAUGAUAUUAGUAUUGCCGGAUUGCGUAAACGACCAAUGGAACGUCGGGCCGUCGAACCGAUAGGACCGUCGUAAUCGGCCCGGCAAAACAACGAUUGCGGGUCGCCGACGAAACGGCAUUUGUCCAUUCGACAAUUAACGCAUUGGCGACCGGCCUUUUUUUUUCCGCGGGGGGGGGGGGGGGGGGGGGGUNNNNNNNNNNNNNNNNNNNNNNNNNAAUAAAAAAAAAAAAAAAAAAUUACAAUUUCCGGGCGGGCUAAGAAUUACAUUUUCACUUCCGGGUCAAUAGGAUAUUGCGUUUUAUUGCACGUACGAUACAAUAUAUAAGGUACAGCGAUAUAUUCAAUUAUUUGUUAUGCGCCGAUUGUUACGAACGAGAAAAAGACAAUAUGUGUACAAACAUACUGUUUUUUUUUUUUUUUUUUUUUUUUUUAAUGAGUGUUAAUUUUCGAAAUUUUAAGUUAUAUUUUUUUUUUCAAUUUCGAUUUAACACAUUAGCGAGCCGAUUAAUAAAUGGACCGCGGGCCACAUCCGGCCCGCAUGGUUGGUCACCACUGUCUUGGCGUAUCGAUAAUACGAAGGCCCCGUUUUCGUCCGAUAAUCAAUAUUGAAAAUAGUACCAUGACUUUAUUGAACUGUUAACAUAAUAUAUUUCGCUGUUUUUCACAAUUUUCUUGACGGUUCACUAUUAUCAAUAAAAUAAUUGAUAUAUUAUAUUAUAAUAAUGUACUAAUGUAUUUAAAUACAUUAGCGCCGUCAAUAAUAUCGGAUCAACUAAUUUUAAAAGCGACUCCGAUACCUACAUUUGUCCUCCUUUUCGCGUCUUUUUUUACUCAACUAUAAUUUUAUAACAUGGACAUUGACAACAGACACGGAGCGCGUGAUGAAACAAUUUCUUUUUAUAAUCGUCAUACAACUGAAUUAUCAUUGUAAAUUGUAAAGCCUUGACGGGACCAUAACCGCGGUAAAUAUUAGUUUAUGUUUAGGGUUUGUGUCUAGUAAAAAUUUAUGAAACGCCGCUGACCAUACUGGAUGUGAUAAAGUUGUUUAUCCAAUGGCUUAUCGAUACGAUAUCAUAGGUUAUAGCGUUGUUUUUAUGGAUCGUUUUUGCAACCCGGCGUAAUAUGUCUGGUGAAAUGUUUUGUUCUGACAACAAGAGAAAAAUAAAAUCGAAAAAACAAUAAUGAUAUCAAAUUAUUAUUCUCGUCUAGUAUUAUGGCGAUCGAAAGGCUAAGCGUACGUAAUAAAAUUAAUGUUAUAAUAAUAAAUAUUUAUGGACAGCGUUAGAAAUCGUUUAUGCGGCGCGGCUGCUCGACGCGAAUAAGAAAAAUAAGAAAAAAUAUAAACCUCUAAUAUAAUAUAGAUUGUCAAUAAUAUUGUUACCAUCAUAUAAUAAUAUACCUAAUAUAAUAUAGUACUAUGAUCAUAAGUCGAAACAAGUUCCCUGUCAAAAUAUCUCCUUAAAAACCUUAACAAUAAAUAAAACGUAUUUCUAGUACUGUUAAUAUUAUCGGAUUUGUAUUUAUUUAAUUUUAAAUAUACAUUUAUUAAAAAGAUAGCAGAAUAAAAAUUAAAACAUAUAUAUAUAUGUAUUAAAUUUGCAUAUUCCUCUUAGUUAUUUGCAUUUUUUGUUAGAUUUGCGCCAUCUGUUUUUCAUAAUAUUUCUUAAUGACGCGAUGCUAUUCUUCGGAAAAAAAAAAAAAAAAACUGCCCAUUAUUAAGUAAACAGAAGACAGUCCUGCCGAAAAUGCUCGGCGAUAUCGUAUGCCCACCUCCGAUCGUUCAACUCCUUCGCAUACCAUAUCGACAACGUUUCAAUUAAACCAAAGUCAACCACUUUGUCGUGACCUAGGAUUCACACUAUGUCUUUUAUGGCGCAUUAAAGAAGCUUUCUGCGAAUUUAUCAGUCAAAUUGUUUCUUGGUUUAAUUAACCGUGUCUCCCUUGAGUUUUGUUUCCCUACACGACUCAAAUCCCUCUACUGUGUUCCGAAGUUUUGGUAUACCACGUCCCAGAUGACGAUUUCGUAUUCUAAUGUUUAUUGUAUGGUAUACUCUUCCUUCUCGUGUAAUUAUAUGACCUAAGUACUGUUAAUCUGCGACUUUUUCUAUGUAUUUGUAAAUAUUGAAUUUCGGAAAAUAAAAUACAAACAACCGAGGGUUGAAACUUGUGCACAUCAUUAUUAUUUUUAGAUUGCUGUUCUGUGUUUAAACGUUUUUCGAAUCUUUACAAAAAAAAUCCUAUUUUUUUUAGGUUAAAUGAAAAAUAAAUAAACUAUUUCAAUAUUAAUACUAGUCACUAGACAUAUUUAUUUUAAAGACAUACGUGUCUACCUAUAUUUUCGUAAAGAAUAUAUUUUUUUAUUUUGCAGACAUUUUUAAUCAUUGUACAAGAGACAAUUUUUCAUAAAUAUACAUUCCCAGUGAGAUAUUUUGACCGGUCACCAUCCCGAAACAUCAACUAAAAUGUAUUUUAUUACGUAAAUAGUACACCGUUUGAAACCAAUAUUUUAUUCCGAUACGAUACAAUGUUAUUAUGUGUCUAUUAUAACCGUUAGCGCAGAUAAAUUCACACGUGGCUUGGUUUUGAAAUACACGUAAUCGGCUGAGUUAUCUGCAGAUAUUUCCCAGAAGUCCGAAACAUUUUUUAUCCGAUUGAAUGGUUGCUGUUGUUAAUAUUACGUUGCACGUCGGAAUAAAAUACUUAUAAUAAAACGUGUCUAAAAUGGAACUCUUAAGCAUAAUUAAUAGUUAUGAGAAUAGAUAAGCCACUUGCAUUCGCCGCCGUUGUAAUGGAAUGGGCAAGUGGGAUAGAUGGUUCUCUCUUACACGAUGUGGGUUUCGAGCCAACUACAGCAUAACGAUAAAUGAAAAACUGCAAUAUUGUACACGCAUUUUUAAGUUGGCCGCACAAUUAAUAGCAAAAUAAUCGUCUAAUCAUGUUUUAUGACUACGCUGUGCCAAAGACUUAAAAUAUAGGUACUAAAAAAAAAAAAAAAAAAAUGUAUAUUUAAUAAUAAA
rnacentral:lncRNA from 1 species